AACGAACGCUGGCGGCAUGCCUAACACAUGCAAGUCGAACGAGACCUUCGGGUAUAGUGGCGCACGGGUGCGUACCGCGUGGGAACCUGCCCUUAGGUUCGGAAUAACUCCCCGAAAGGGGUGCUAAUACCGGAAAAUGUCUUCGGACCAAAGAUUUAUCGCCUUUGGAUGGGCCCGCGUUGGAUUAGCUAGUUGGUAGGGUAAAAGCCUACCAAGGCGACGAUCCAUAGCUGGUCUGAGAGGAUGAUCAGCCACACUGGGACUGAGACACGGCCCAGACUCCUACGGGAGGCAGCAGUGGGGAAUAUUGGACAAUGGGCGAAAGCCUGAUCCAGCAAUGCCGCGUGAGUGAUGAAGGCCUUAGGGUUGUAAAGCUCUUUUACCCGGGAUGAUAAUGACAGUACCGGGAGAAUAAGCUCCGGCUAACUCCGUG
rnacentral:rRNA from 1 species